UCUCAUGAAGGAGCAAAGAAAGUGGUUUCUUGAGAUAGAAUCUACCCCUGGUGAAAAUGCUGUGAA
rnacentral:pre_miRNA from 1 species